CCUCUAUACAGGCAGGCAUACACGCGCACGCGUAAGGGCGUGCUUACUGCCUCUCGUGCGAUGCGCACCGACGCGAGUGGCGGGACAAAGCCUUCACCACCACUGCCCAACACACGCGCACGCGUACAAGGGAACAGCAGCAACGCGUAAAAAAAGCAACUGCGUGCUCCCCACCGAGUCACUCAGUUCUCUUCCGAUUGCCAUCAUCAUCGGCGCAGCGUCAUCAUGCCGCCUGUGGGGUCCGGCUACACCUUUGCGGACUUCCUGCAGCGGCUGGAGCGCAGCCCUGCGUCGCAAAUGUCCCCCCUCUACCACGAACACCGCCUCCUCUUUGUGAAUCGGCCCGACAUGCUCUCGAGGGCGGUCCUGUCGGUCUCGUGGGAGAGAGGGCUGGCGAUCCUACAAGCAGCGUACUACACCCAGCCGGUGGCCGCUGAGACGUACAGGGCGUUGUUAGCCCGAAUGCUGCGACACAACCGGCACGUGUCGAAGACCGGCGCAGGUCAGCUUGUCAGCUGGCAGGCCGCGAUGAAGGUGAUGAGCGAGGCAGUGCUGGCGCACGGCACCUCGCUGCCGACCCGCGUGUCUGUCUCGACGCUGCGCCUUCUAGCACCGCACCGGCAGUGGCGCACGGCCAUUGACGUGCUUAAGCUAAACCAGGCGAAUGGACAGCUUACAAAGCCGAUGUUGCUGGAUGCGGCUCACGCCUGUGCAACGUCAGCGGCAUGGCCCCAUGCCCUCCAGCUGCUCAUGCACCUUCAUCAGCAGGAUCCGCCGCUUCUGUUCGACGCGAUACAGAGUAUGCGACCACCUGGCACGACUGCCCUCACAGCCGCUGCCAGCGCUCACGCAUUGCUUCCGUCCGUCCACGACGGCGGAGCCCCAACACCGGCGCAGCAGCACAUUUUGAGCGUCCUGAACAGCGUGGUUGGGAGCGUUCCGCAUGAGGUGGCAGCGCGGAGCCCGCUCUGCACAUCGUACCUGACUCACCUGCUGGCAAGCACCACGUUGACACCCGAGCUAAAGGUGCAGCGAGCAACGGCGGCCAUGGCGCAGCUGCCGUGGACAGCCGCACUGGCACUGCUGAGCGACCUGAGCGAGCCGGCCUUGCUGACAGAUGUAGAGUGGACGCGUGUGCGCGACGCCGUUCUGCUCCACUCCAACUCUGGCACCGGUAAAGGAGACGGUGGCAGCGGCGCAGGAGAGGAACGACAGCGGCGGCGGCCGUUGUCAGCGAAGCGAAGGUCGAAGAGGAAGAGAGACGCCUCCUCUGCUGUCACCUUGCCCGAUGCGGCGGAGCCGGAAAAGGAUGAGGAGGCCGCGGAGGGCGCGGUGCCAUCCUCUUCCACGUCUCUGAACGCUUCCAUCUCGCCAUUGGCACCAUCGGUGACGACCGCAGCAGCUGCACACUCCCAAGACACUGCCGUACUCAGUACAGCGGUUCUCUUCUCCCGCAUGCAGCUCCUACGCGCUUCUCCCCUGACAGCAGCAGCCAUGAUCGCCGUUAUGGUGGACAAGCUUCCCACGCCGGAGAUGGCAGCUGCGUUUCUCCAGAGCUGCGCAGCGCACCUUGCGCAACCCGUGCCGGCCCCUUCCUCGGCAGCGGAUGCUCUCGACACCGCGCUACAGGGUAGUGGCCUCACUGUGGGCUCGGUGGCGGCCGCACGCCACCCCGUUGUCGUCCACGCGCUCUUGCGCAACUGCUCCCGACACGAAAACGGCUGGGCUAUUGCAGCACCGGCGCUGCUUAGGCACAGCGCGGCGCAGGCGACGACCCCGCCCGAGCUGCUCAGCUCACUUGUUCGACAGCUGCGGCAGGCGAAGCAAGUAGCGUUGGCGGUACGCCUGCUUCACGAGCACAUUAUCCCUUCUGGCAGUCUCUUGACACCGACGUCGUGGGAGGACAUACUGGAAUGCGCACUGGCACACAACCGUGCCAUUCGCCUGCGACACCUUCACAGAAAAACGGCGAACUCCCACGACGGUAGUGUGGCCACAAAGGCGGCCCUGAGGCUAUCGAGCGUUCACUGGGUGUCUGCGCUGAGCUGGGUUAAAACCCGGCAGGCGACCUCCAGCGAGGAUCGGAUUUGCAAGACGGGGACCGGCCCAUCGCAGGGUGCCACGCAGCGCCAUCCACUGGAAGUUGUCGCUCUAGAACGGCCCCUGUCACACAAGAUGCUGAGCCUCCUCAUCAACGUCUGCGUGCUGGGAGGCAGCCCACAGGGUGCCCUGCACGUGCUUGGCUACGCGCGCCGUGUAAACAAGACGGAGCUGCCCCAUACAUCGCAGAUACGAGCGCUUCUGUACUGCAUGCAGUACGAUCGCCCUUGCGAAGCAGAGGCAAUCGUGGAGCAGUGCGCGAAACGCGAAGGCGAGGCCGCCGCGCAACCGUUGCGGCACCUGCUGCGAUUGAUACGAGAGGGGAAGUCUGAUGACGACGAAGGAGACGAGGAGUGAGCCACGCUUUCGAGUGCGCGCGCACGUGAAGGACGGCGUGCCUGCGCGUGGUGCGUCUUUCGCUCCCCUCUCCCCCUCUUUACCACCUCCUCUGAUGGAUGGCCAUGCGCGCACUCUCGCUCUGUCUUUGGGUUCGUGUGUCGUCUUUUAAAAUGUUGUUGUUCUUGGUACUUGUGCGGUUUGUUCACAGAGUCGUCUCCCUCCUCCCUGCGUUCGCCCCCUUCGGCCUUUUUUCGACCUCCCACUGUCGCAGACAUUUCCGCACAAGCGCUGAAGAAACAGCGAAAAAACGUCGAAAAUGAAAAUGCAGCCGCUGCGACCCCCCCUUGAUGAGGAAGCCAGGCAGCCUCCCUCUCUCUCCAUCCCCCCAUUUCCCCAUCCCCUGCCAAAUGCCGAACCUCUUCUGGUGGUGACAGGGUCAGGCACCCGCGACGUAGGGAGGUGAGAGCGACUCACUGCUACGGAUGUCGGCGGCCAGGCCCUGGAUGGCGUGGCGUGGGAGCGACCUGCGACAGCGAACACGCUUGUGCCAUCCAUGUGCUAGGCAGAGCGUCAUGGUGACUCGAACGCAUCCCAUCCGGCCCUCGCACUGGCCACUGGUGGUAGGCAGCCUGCGUGCCGCCCCGAGGCGGGAUGCACCAAGGGUGGCGACCGGCACGGUGGGGGAGCGGCUGUGCGGCUGCCUGCGACGCGUGUGCUGAGGGCAGAGGUUUGGGGCAGAGGCCGUGCUCAGAUGGCUGAGUCGGGUGCACUGCUGCAACGCGCGUGUCUACGUCUGCUCCGCACCACGCGGAUGGGGCCCAUGGUCGGGCCGGGGGCCGAGUGCCGCUUCGCUCAUGUCACUUGGCAGAGAGUGGGAGAACACAAGGAUGCAACGAAACAUCAGCGCAGACUUCCAUUGCAGGGGAAGUGGGGUACGCAUAUUCAUGCGGAGCGAUGCCCGCGUUGAUCAGUAGAUGGGCAGCGACGCGUUAAGAUUCUCCUCUAUACCGGGGAUGGACUCGACUCCCUCUUCCCCUUGUUAUUACUCUCACCGCUUCCUUCCUUUUUUUUUUUGUUUCUCUCCGCUGCGGUGGUGCCGCAUCGAUGGUUGUGCUCAUGGCUCUUUUUGGUGCGCGACCUCGGUGGCGGCGCCUCGUUGCUGUUUCCUUUCUCUUCUUUUUGGGGGGUUUGCGUUUCGCCCGUCCCAACUGACCCUCUCUAUCUCCAG
rnacentral:misc_RNA from 1 species